AUUUAAAUAGCUUAUAAUUUAGAGCGUGAUAUUGAAGAUAUCAAGGAAAUUGUAUAAUUUUUAAAUA
rnacentral:tRNA from 1 species